rfam:Myotis davidii contig202783, whole genome shotgun sequence.
GGUGGUUCUUAGGUGAUGCACCCCAGAAUCAGGCUCCCUCCUCUCUUAUUCUAGAUGCAUCACCCAAGAACCACA